ACGUAGGUGGCGAGCGUUAUCCGGAUUUACUGGGUGUAAAGCGCGUGCAGGCGGUGGGGUAAGGGAGGUGUGAAAGCACCCGGCUUAACCGGGGGAGGGCGCGCCCGACUGCGCGACUGGAGGUGGGUAGAGGCGUGUGGAAUUCCGGGUGUAGUGGUGAAAUGCGUAGAGAUCCGGAGGAACCCCGGUGGCGAAGGCGACUUGCUGGGCCUGAACUGACGCUCAGACGCGAAAGCAUGGGGAGCGAACGG
rnacentral:rRNA from 1 species